UUUCCGUAGGUGAACCUGCGGAAGGAUCAUUAUUGUAUAACCGAGGUGCGAGGGCUGUCGCUGACCCGAAAGGUCGUGCACGCCCGAGUGCCCUCACACACAUCCAUCUCACCCCUAUGUGCACCACCGCGUGGGUCCCCCUUUGGCUUGUUCGGAGGGGGGCUUACGUUUUCACACAAACUUUGUAUGCAGUGUAGAAUGUAUUUUUUGUUUUUGCGAUCACGCAAUCAAUACAACUUUCAACAACGGAGCGCGGGGCUCUCGCAUCGAGGAAGAACGCAGC
rnacentral:misc_RNA from 1 species